rnacentral:rRNA from 1 species
UACGUAGGUGGCAAGCGUUGUUCGGAAUUAUUGGGCGUAAAGGGCGCGUAGGCGGUUUGCUAAGUCAGUUGUGAAAGCCCGGGGCUCAACCCCGGAGGGUCGGCUGAUACUGGUGGACUAGAGUACGGAAGAGGUAGCUGGAAUUCCCGGUGUAGCGGUGAAAUGCGUAGAUAUCUGAAGGAACACCAGUGGCGAAGGCGGCUUUCUGGCCUAUUCUUGACGCUGAGGCGCGAAAGCUAGGGGAGCGAACGGG